rnacentral:rRNA from 1 species
ACGGAAGGCAGCAGUGGGGAAUAUUGGACAAUGGGGGAAACCCUGAUCCAGCGACGCCGCGUGAGUGAAGAAGUAUUUCGGUAUGUAAAGCUCUAUCAGCAAGGAAGAAAAUGACGGUACUUGACUAAGAAGCUCCGGCUAAAUACGUGCCAGCAGCCGCGGUGAUACGUAUGGAGCAAGCGUUAUCCGGAUUUACUGGGUGUAAAGGGAGCGUAGACGGCAACGCAAGUCCGAAGUGAAAUCCCGGGGCUCAACCCCGGAACUGCUUUGGAAACUGUUUAGCUAGAGUGCAGGAGAGGUAAGCGGAAUUCCUAGUGUAGCGGUGAAAUGCGUAGAUAUUAGGAGGAACACCAGUGGCGAAGGCGGCUUGCUGGACGACAACUGACGCUGAGGCGCGAAAGCGUGGGGAGCAAACAGGAUUAGAUACCCUGGUA